UACGUAGGGGGCAAGCGUUGUCCGGAAUUAUUGGGCGUAAAGCGCACGUAGGCGGUCUUUUAAGUCGGGGGUGAAAUCCUGGAGCUCAACUCCAGAACUGCCUUUGAUACUGGAGAGCUUGAGUCCGGGAGAGGUGAGUGGAACUGCGAGUGUAGAGGUGAAAUUCGUAGAUAUUCGGAAGAACACCAGUGGCGAAGGCGGCCCGCUGGACAUGUAUUGACGCUGAGGUGCGAAAGCGUGGGGAGCAAACAGG
rnacentral:rRNA from 1 species